GGUUAAGCGACUAAGCGUACACGGUGGAUGCCCUGGCAGUCAGAGGCGAUGAAGGACGUGCUAAUCUGCGAUAAGCGUCGGUAAGGUGAUAUGAACCGUUAUAACCGGCGAUUUCCGAAUGGGGAAACCCAGUGUGAUUCGUCACACUAUCAUUAACUGAAUCCAUAGGUUAAUGAGGCGAACCGGGGGAACUGAAACAUCUAAGUACCCCGAGGAAAAGAAAUCAACCGAGAUUCCCCCAGUAGCGGCGAGCGAACGGGGAGCAGCCCAGAGCCUGAAUCAGUGUGUGUGUUAGUGGAAGCGUCUGGAAAGGCGUGCGAUACAGGGUGACAGCCCCGUACACAAAAAUGCACAUACUGUGAGCUCGAUGAGUAGGGCGGGACACGUGGUAUCCUGUCUGAAUAUGGGGGGACCAUCCUCCAAGGCUAAAUACUCCUGACUGACCGAUAGUGAACCAGUACCGUGAGGGAAAGGCGAAAAGAACCCCGGCGAGGGGAGUGAAAAAGAACCUGAAACCGUGUACGUACAAGCAGUGGGAGCACGCUUAGGCGUGUGACUGCGUACCUUUUGUAUAAUGGGUCAGCGACUUAUAUUCUGUAGCAAGGUUAACCGAAUAGGGGAGCCGAAGGGAAACCGAGUCUUAACUGGGCGUUAAGUUGCAGGGUAUAGACCCGAAACCCGGUGAUCUAGCCAUGGGCAGGUUGAAGGUUGGGUAACACUAACUGGAGGACCGAACCGACUAAUGUUGAAAAAUUAGCGGAUGACUUGUGGCUGGGGGUGAAAGGCCAAUCAAACCGGGAGAUAGCUGGUUCUCCCCGAAAGCUAUUUAGGUAGCGCCUCGUGAAUUCAUCUCCGGGGGUAGAGCACUGUUUCGGCAAGGGGGUCAUCCCGACUUACCAACCCGAUGCAAACUGCGAAUACCGGAGAAUGUUAUCACGGGAGACACACGGCGGGUGCUAACGUCCGUCGUGAAGAGGGAAACAACCCAGACCGCCAGCUAAGGUCCCAAAGUCAUGGUUAAGUGGGAAACGAUGUGGGAAGGCCCAGACAGCCAGGAUGUUGGCUUAGAAGCAGCCAUCAUUUAAAGAAAGCGUAAUAGCUCACUGGUCGAGUCGGCCUGCGCGGAAGAUGUAACGGGGCUAAACCAUGCACCGAAGCUGCGGCAGCGACGCUUAUGCGUUGUUGGGUAGGGGAGCGUUCUGUAAGCCUGUGAAGGUGUGCUGUGAGGUAUGCUGGAGGUAUCAGAAGUGCGAAUGCUGACAUAAGUAACGAUAAAGCGGGUGAAAAGCCCGCUCGCCGGAAGACCAAGGGUUCCUGUCCAACGUUAAUCGGGGCAGGGUGAGUCGACCCCUAAGGCGAGGCCGAAAGGCGUAGUCGAUGGGAAACAGGUUAAUAUUCCUGUACUUGGUGUUACUGCGAAGGGGGGACGGAGAAGGCUAUGUUGGCCGGGCGACGGUUGUCCCGGUUUAAGCGUGUAGGCUGGUUUUCCAGGCAAAUCCGGAAAAUCAAGGCCGAGGCGUGAUGACGAGGCACUACGGUGCUGAAGCAACAAAUGCCCUGCUUCCAGGAAAAGCCUCUAAGCAUCAGGUAACAUCAAAUCGUACCCCAAACCGACACAGGUGGUCAGGUAGAGAAUACCAAGGCGCUUGAGAGAACUCGGGUGAAGGAACUAGGCAAAAUGGUGCCGUAACUUCGGGAGAAGGCACGCUGAUACGUAGGUGAAGCGACUUGCUCGUGGAGCUGAAAUCAGUCGAAGAUACCAGCUGGCUGCAACUGUUUAUUAAAAACACAGCACUGUGCAAACACGAAAGUGGACGUAUACGGUGUGACGCCUGCCCGGUGCCGGAAGGUUAAUUGAUGGGGUUAGCGCAAGCGAAGCUCUUGAUCGAAGCCCCGGUAAACGGCGGCCGUAACUAUAACGGUCCUAAGGUAGCGAAAUUCCUUGUCGGGUAAGUUCCGACCUGCACGAAUGGCGUAAUGAUGGCCAGGCUGUCUCCACCCGAGACUCAGUGAAAUUGAACUCGCUGUGAAGAUGCAGUGUACCCGCGGCAAGACGGAAAGACCCCGUGAACCUUUACUAUAGCUUGACACUGAACAUUGAGCCUUGAUGUGUAGGAUAGGUGGGAGGCUUUGAAGUGUGGACGCCAGUCUGCAUGGAGCCGACCUUGAAAUACCACCCUUUAAUGUUUGAUGUUCUAACGUGGACCCGUGAUCCGGGUUGCGGACAGUGUCUGGUGGGUAGUUUGACUGGGGCGGUCUCCUCCUAAAGAGUAACGGAGGAGCACGAAGGUUGGCUAAUCCUGGUCGGACAUCAGGAGGUUAGUGCAAUGGCAUAAGCCAGCUUGACUGCGAGCGUGACGGCGCGAGCAGGUGCGAAAGCAGGUCAUAGUGAUCCGGUGGUUCUGAAUGGAAGGGCCAUCGCUCAACGGAUAAAAGGUACUCCGGGGAUAACAGGCUGAUACCGCCCAAGAGUUCAUAUCGACGGCGGUGUUUGGCACCUCGAUGUCGGCUCAUCACAUCCUGGGGCUGAAGUAGGUCCCAAGGGUAUGGCUGUUCGCCAUUUAAAGUGGUACGCGAGCUGGGUUUAGAACGUCGUGAGACAGUUCGGUCCCUAUCUGCCGUGGGCGCUGGAGAACUGAGGGGGGCUGCUCCUAGU
rnacentral:rRNA from 1 species